rnacentral:rRNA from 1 species
GUAGGGAAUAUUGGGCAAUGGAUGCAAGUCUGACCCAGCCAUCCCGCGUGCCGGAAGAAGGCCCUCAGGGUUGUAAACGGCUUUUGACGGUGAAGAAUCGACAGGAUGCGUCCUGUUUUGACGGUAGUCGUUGAAUAAGCACCGGCUAACUCCGUGCCAGCAGCCGCGGUAAUACGGAGGGUGCGAGCGUUGUCCGGAUUUAUUGGGUUUAAAGGGUGCGUAGGCUGGAAGGUCAGUCAGCGGUGAAAAGCUAUCGCUUAACGAUAGUCUUGCCGCAGAUACUUCCUUUCUUGGAUGAGGAGGAGGCCACUGGAACGGAUGGUGUAGCGGUGAAAUGCAUAGAUAUCAUCCAGAACACCGAUUGCGAAGGCAGGUGGCUGUACCUUAAUCGACGCUGAUGCACGAAAGCAUGGGGAGCAAACAGGAUUAGAUACCCGGGUAGUCC